rnacentral:rRNA from 1 species
AUACGGAGGGUGCAAGCGUUACUCGGAAUCACUGGGCGUAAAGCGCGCGCAGGCGGCUUGAUAAGUUGGAUGUGAAAGCCUACGGCUCAACCGUAGAACUGCAUCCAAAACUGUCAGGCUAGAGUGUGGGAGAGGAAGAUGGAAUUAGUUGUGUAGGGGUAAAAUCCGUAGAGAUAACUAGGAAUACCAAAAGCGAAGGCAAUCUUCUGGAACACUACUGACGCUGAGGCGCGAAGGUGUGGGGAGCAAACAGGAUUAGAAACCCCAGUAGUCC